ACUCCUACGGGAGGCAGCAGUGGGGAAUAUUGCGCAAUGGGGGAAACCCUGACGCAGCAACGCCGCGUGAGUGAUGAAGGCCUUCGGGUUGUAAAGCUCUGUCUUUGGGGACGAUAAUGACGGUACCCAAGGAGGAAGCCACGGCUAACUACGUGCCAGCAGCCGCGGUAAUACGUAGGUGGCAAGCGUUGUCCGGAUUUACUGGGCGUAAAGAGUAUGUAGGCGGAUAUUUAAGUCAGAUGUGAAAUUCCCGGGCUUAACCUGGGCGCUGCAUUUGAAACUGGGUAUCUAGAGUGCGGGAGAGGAAAGUGGAAUUCCUAGUGUAGCGGUGAAAUGCGUAGAGAUUAGGAAGAACACCAGUGGCGAAGGCGACUUUCUGGACCGUAACUGACGCUGAGAUACGAAAGCGUGGGGAGCAAACAGGAUUAGAUACCCUGGUAGUC
rnacentral:rRNA from 1 species